rnacentral:rRNA from 1 species
AUUGAACGCUGUCGGCAGGCUUAACACAUGCAAGUCGAGCGAGCGGCGGACGGGUGAGUAAUGUCUGGGAAACUGCCUGAUGGAGGGGGAUAACUACUGGAAACGGUAGCUAAUACCGCAUACCAUCAGAUGUGCCCCGCUGGGAUUAGCUAGUAGGUGGGGUAAUGGCUCACCUAGGCGACGAUCCCUAGCUGGUCUGAGAGGAUGACCAGCCACACGGGAACUGAGACACGGUCCAGACUCCUACGGGAGGCAGCAGUGGGGAAUAUUGCACAAUGGGCGCAAGCCUGAUGCAGCCAUGCCGCGUGUAUGAAGAAGGCCUUAGGGUUGUAAAGGACUUUCAGCGGGGAGGCGUUACCCGCAGAAGAAGCACAGGCUAACUCCGUGCCAGCCGCCGCGGUAAUAC